GAUGAACGCUAGCGGCAGGCCUAACACAUGCAAGUCGAGGGGUAGAAGGAGCUUGCUCCUUUGAGACCGGCGCACGGGUGCGUAACGCGUAUGCAUUCUACCUUCUACAGGGGAAUAGCCCAGAGCAAUUUGGAUUAAUGCCCCAUAGUAUAUAACCUUCGCAUGUUGGUGAUAUUAAAGUUCCAACGGUACAAGAUGAGCAUGCGUCCCAUUAGUUAGUUGGUAAGGUAACGGCUUACCAAGACGAUGAUGGGUAGGGGUCCUGAGGGGGAGGUCCCCCAGACUGGUACCGAGACACGGACCACACUCCUACGGGAGGCAGCAGUGAGGAAUACUGGGCAAUGAUCGCAAGACUAGACCAGCCAUGCCGAGUGCAGGAAGACGGUCCUAGGAAUGGUAAACUGCUGUUAUACAGGAAGAAACCCUCCCACGUGUGGGAGCUUGACGGUACUGGAGGAAGAAGUAUCGGCUAACUCCGUG
rnacentral:rRNA from 1 species